UACAGAGGUCUCAAGCGUUGUUCGGAUUCAUUGGGCGUAAAGGGUGUGUAGGUGGCGCCGUAAGUCGGGUGUGAAAUUUCGGAGCUUAACUCCGAAACUGCAUUCGAUACUGCGGUGCUUGAGGACUGGAGAGGAGACUGGAAUUCAUGGUGUAGCAGUGAAAUGCGUAGAGAUCAUGAGGAAGACCAGUGGCGAAGGCGGGUCUCGUGGACAGUUCCUGACACUGAGACACGAAGGCCAGGGAGCAAACGGG
rnacentral:rRNA from 1 species